AGUGGAUGGGGAACAACCUAGUUGUGCGUGUGUAAAGGUAGUGCCAAGAAAAGCGGUGAUCAUGAUGAAAAUCAAUUCCCGGUACCCGAAACCGACACAGGUGGGCAAGUAGAGAAUACUAAGGGGCGCGAGGUAACUCUCUCCAAGGAACUCGGCAAAAUGACCCCGUAACUUAGGGAGAAGGGGUGCCACCGAGAGGUGGUCGCAGUGAAGAGGCCCAGGCGACUGUUUAGCAAAAACAUAGGUCUCUGCAAACUCGAAAGAGGAGGUAUAGGGGCUGACGCCUGCCCAGUGCCGGAAGGUUAAAGAAGUUGGUCAGUCUUAGGAUGAAGCUAGCGACUGAAGCCCCGGUGAACGGCGGCCGUAACUAUAACGGUCCUAAGGUAGCGAAAUUCCUUGUCGGGUAAGUUCCGACCCGCACGAAAGGCGUAACGAUCUGGGCGCUGUCUCGGAGAGAGGCUCGGCGAAAUAGGAUUGUCUGUGAAGAUACGGACUACCUGCAUUUGGACAGAAAGACCCUAUGAAGCUUUACUAUAGCUUGGAAUUGUGUUCGGGCUUCCUGUGCGCAGGAUAGGUGGGAGGCGUAGAAGGUAUUCUUGUGGGGAUACUGGAGGCAACGGUGAGAUACCACUCUCAGGAGGCUAGAAUUCUAACUUAAUUAAGGACAGUUUCAGGUGGGUAGUUUGACUGGGGCGGUCGCCUCCAAAAAGGUAACGGAGGCGUACAAAGGUUCCCUCAGACUGGUUGGAAAUCAGUCGCAGAGUGCAAAGGCAGAAGGGAGCUUGACUGCGAGAAGUACAGUUCGAGCAGGGUGGAAACACGGUCUUAGUGAUCCGACGGUGCUGUGUGGAAGGGCCGUCGCUCAACGGAUAAAAGUUACUCUAGGAUAACAGGCUGAUCUCCCCCAAGAGUUCACAUCGACGGGGAGGUUUGGCACCUCGAUGUCGGCUCAUCGCAACCUGGGGCGGAAGUACGUCCCAAGGGUUGGGCUGUUCGCCCAUUAAAGCGGUACGUGAGCUGGGUUCAGAACGUCGUGAGACAGUUCGGUCCAUAUCCGAUGUAGGCGUGAGAAUAUUGAGAGGAGCCUUCCUUAGUACGAGAGGACCGGGAAGGACGCACCGCUGGUGUACCUGUUAUGAUGCCAAUUGUAAACGCAGGGUAGCCAAGUGCAGAGAGGAUAACCGCUGAAAGCAUCUAAGUGGGAAGCCCACCUCAAGAUGAGUAUUCUGGUGUAAGGUCACGGAAGACGACCCGUAAAUAGGCACGAGGUGGAAGUGCAGAGAUGUAUGAAGCCGAAGUGUACUAAUAGACCGUCGGCUUGACCA
rnacentral:rRNA from 1 species